GACGAACGCUGGCGGCGUGCUUAACACAUGCAAGUCGAACGGUGAAGCGCCUUCCUUUUUGGUGGGUGUGGAUGAGUGGCGAACGGGUGAGUAACACGUGAGUAACCUGCCCCCUUCUUCUGGAUAACCGCAUGAAAGUGUGGCUAAUACUGGAUAUUCUGGGUCUGUCGCAUGAUGGGUCUGGGAAAGAUAUUGUUUCGGUGGGGGAUGGGCUCGCGGCCUAUCAGCUUGUUGGUGGGGUGAUGGCCUACCAAGGCGGUGACGGGUAGCCGGCCUGGGAGGGUGGACGGCAACAGUGGGACUGAGACACGGAGCAGACUCCUACGGGCGGCAGCAGUGGGGAAUAGUGCACAAUGGGAGGAAGCCUGAUGCAGCGACGCCGCGGGAGGGAUGGAGGCCUUCGGGUUGUGAACCUCUUUCGCCAGUGAAGCAGGCCUGCCUAGUUUGUGGGUGGGUUGACGGUAGCUGGAGAAGAAGCGCCGGCUAACUACGUG
rnacentral:rRNA from 1 species